CCUACGGGAGGCAGCGGUGAGGAAUAUUGGUCAAUGGACGAGAGUCUGAACCAGCCAAGUAGCGUGAAGGAUGACUGACCUAUGGGUUGUAAACUUCUUUUAUAAAGGAAUAAAACGCGGCACGUGUGCCUUUUUGCAUGUACUUUAUGAAUAAGGAUCGGCUAACUCCGUGCCAGCAGCCGCGGUAAUACGGAGGGUCCGAGCGUUAUCCGGAUUUAUUGGGUUUAAAGGGAGCGUAGGUGGGUUGUUAAGUCAGCUGUGAAAGUUUGCGGCCCAACCGUAAAAGUGCAAUUGAUACUGGCAGUCUUGAGUACAGUUGAGGUAGGCGGAAUUCGUGGUGUAGCGGUGAAAUGCUUAGAUAUCACGCAGAACCCCGAUUGCGAAGGCAGCAUACUGAACUGUGACUGACAUUGAUGCUCGAAAGUGUGGGUAUCAAACAGGAUUAGAUACCCCUGUAGUC
rnacentral:rRNA from 1 species